rnacentral:rRNA from 1 species
UCGGGAAUUUUGGGCAAUGGGCGAAAGCCUGACCCAGCAACGCCGCGUGAAGGAUGAAAUCCCUCGGGAUGUAAACUUCGCAAGAACGGGAAGAAUAAGUAGGGGAUAAUAACCCCUAUGAUGACGGUACCGUUUGUAAGCUCCGGCUAACUCCGUGCCAGCAGCCGCGGUAAUACGGGGGGAGCAAGCGUUGUUCGGAUUUACUGGGCGUAAAGGGCGCGUAGGCGGUCAGCACAAGUCAGUUGUGAAAUCUCCGGGCUUAACCCGGAAAGGUCAACUGAUACUGUGCGACUAGAGUGCAGAAGGGGCAACUGGAAUUCUUGGUGUAGCGGUGAAAUGCGUAGAUAUCAAGAGGAACACCUGCGGCGAAGGCGGGUUGCUGGGCUGACACUGACGCUGAAGCGCGAAAGCCAGGGGAGCGAACGG